rnacentral:rRNA from 1 species
GAUGAACGCUGGCGGCGUGCUUAACACAUGCAAGUCGAACGAAGCAUUUGCGACAGAUUUUUUCGGAAUGAAGUUGCUUAUGACUGAGUGGCGGACGGGUGAGUAACGCGUGGGUAACCUGCCUUGUACUGGGGGAUAGCAGCUGGAAACGGCUGGUAAUACCGCAUAAGCGCACAAUGUUGCAUGACAUGGUGUGAAAAACUCCGGGGGUAUAAGAUGGACCCGCGUCUGAUUAGCUAUUGGGUGAGAUUACAGCCCACCAAGGCGACGAUCAGGAGCCGACCUGGGAGGGGGCCCGGCUACAUUUGGACUGAGACACAGCCCAGACUCCUAGGGGAGGCAGCAGUGGAGAAUAUUGCAGAAUGGAGGAAACUCUGAUGCAGCGACGCCGCGUGAGUGAAGAAGUAAUUCGUUAUGUAAAGCUCUAUCAGCAGGGAAGAUAGUGACGGUACCUGACGAAGAAGCUCCGGCUAAAUACGUG